rnacentral:rRNA from 1 species
UGGGGAAUUUUGGACAAUGGGCGAAAGCCUGAUCCAGCCAUUCCGCGUGUGNGAUGAAGGCCUUCGGGUUGUAAAGCACUUUUGGCGGGAAGGAAAUCGCGUANNUUAAUACUUUGCGUGGAUGACGGUACCNGCAGAAUAAGCACCGGCUAACUCCGUGCCAGCAGCCGCGGUAAUACGUAGGGUGCAAGCGUUAAUCGGAAUUACUGGGCGUAAAGCGUGCGCAGGCGGUUGGGUAAAGUGAGGUGUGAAAUCCCCGGGCUUAACCUGGGAACUGCACUUUAAACUGCCGAGCUAGAGUAUGUCAGAGGGGGGUGGAAUUCCGCGUGUAGCGGUGAAAUGCGUAGAUAUGCGGAGGAACACCGAUGGCGAAGGCAGCCCCCUGGGAUAAUACUGACGCUCAUGCACGAAAGCGUGGGGAGCAAACAGGAU